GAAGCGUGGAAGUGUGGUUAUGUUACUUUGUUGUUUUUCUCAUAUUGUAGGUUAAUUUUUAGCAUUUUGUUUUGUAUUUGAAACUCGAAAUGGCAUUUAAAAAUAAGAAAAAGCCAACAUUGAAAAAAUUAACACGGAAACAACAGCGCAAAGAAAUGCGAAAAGAUAAGAAAGCCAGACGUAAUGAAUUCUACUCAAAAAAGAAGAUUCCUGGUGCUCUUGUUCCAAACCCUGAAAGGACUUCCAUUCAGAAUGAAAAAUCUAAUCAAUUAAUUGAUGAAAAGCCUCCAGAACAAAAAAGAAAAUUCAGGAAUGAUGUUUCGGCAAACCAGAUAAAUGAAACAACAGUAGUACAGUCCAGGAAAAAAGAAAUGGAAAGGAUCCAAAAGGAAAUGGCGAAACAAAGAAAAAAACAACAGUUGUUGCAUAUAGAAGAAGAGGACCGGAUUAUUAAAAAAAUGGAAAAGCAGUUAGGAUUAAAAAAGAAGAAAGCAAAAUCGAUUCCAAAAUUCAUGAUGGAGGAUGGGUUCGAUUAUAUUUCAGAAGUUUUCGAUCCAGAAUUAAUGAAAAAUGCAGCGGCAGCAGAUCAUGAUAUUAAUGAAGCUAAUGAUGAUUUUGAUGAAGAUUUUGAGUUGAUGACAAAACAGUCAUCCCAACAACCUGUGAUAUCUGAUGAAGAAUACAGUGAUUUUGAUUCAGAACAAGAAAUAGAGAAGGACCAGAAGAAUGGCAAUUUCAGAGAGGAUGAUUUUUCAGAUGAGUCAGAUGAUGAGGAGUUCUUCUUAAACAGUGAUAGUGAGGAAAUUCUAGAGGAGGAGACUGUAGGUGAUGAAGUUGAAGAAAAGCCUUCGAAGUCUAAAAAAAGAAAGCAUAUCGAAAUGAAUAAAAAAAAGAAGAAACUAAAGUUGGAGUGCUCUGAUUCUGAAACUGAACAAAAAUUGGGAAAUGAUAAGAACUAUUCUGAAGAUGAUGAAGUUGAAAAAAAGCCUUUGAUAUCUAAAAAAAGAAAGCAUAUUGAAUUGAAUAAAAAAAAGAAAAAAUUGAAGUUGGAGUGCUCUGAUUCUGAAACUGAAAAAGCGGGAAGUGAUGAGAACUGUUCUGAUAUUGCUGAUGAAACUCUUAACAAUUCAGGAGAUGAUGGUUGGUCCGAUGGAGAUGAUGGGUCUGAUGAUGAUGAUGAUGGAGAAGGAGAAGUGAAGAAAGGUGUUGCUAGAACAUUUGAUGAUGGAACCUGGGAAGACAUUUAUGGUCGAAAAAGGGGUAAAGACGGAUCAGUUAUAACAAAUAACCAAUCGAAAUAUAUUCCUCCUGCGAUGAGAGAAAAACUCAACGGUGCUGAUCCAGAAGAUAAAAAGAGAAAAGAGAAACUAACUAGAUUGAAAAGACAAUUGAAAGGAUACAUAAACAGAUUAGCAGAAAGCAACAUGCACCAUAUAUCAACACAAAUAGAAGAACUGUAUAUGAAUAACAGUAGAAAUGACAUGAAUGAUACGUUGACUCUUUUGAUAAUGGAAUCUCUCGUGUCAUCUGUGAUGUCACCUGAACGGCUGUUGAUUGAACAUAUUGUUCUCAUCGCCAUACUGCAUGCUAAUGUUGGUACAGAAGUCGGGGCCCAUUUCUUGCAGUAUAUCGUGCAAAAAUUUGACGAGUUCUUCACUUCGGAACAAGAAGUGGAGAACAAAAAAUUAGAUAAUAUCGUUUGUAUAAUCGCACAACUAUACAAUUUCAAACUCUUCGAUUCCAAACUCAUCUACGAUAUUCUUAAGAAGUUUGUCGGUAAAUUCAAGGAAAAGGAUGUUGAGUGUAUUCUGCAUAUUCUGAAAAGUGUUGGAUUUACCCUGAGGAAAGAGGAUCCUUUGGCUUUGAAAAAUCUCAUUUUAGAUAUCCAGAACCAAGCUGCUAAUGUUUCAGAGGAAGAGAGGGAUAACUCUCGGGUAAAAUUUAUGCUGGACAUACUUUUGGCAAUCAAAAACAAUAAUGUCACAAAAAUACCAAACUAUGAUACAUCAUACUCAGAACAUAUGAAAAAGGUUAUGAAAGCUUUCAUCAGAAAAGGAAACUAUGUUACCCAGCUGAAUAUAUCUCUGGAAGAUCUUCUGAAUGCUAGUGAAAGGGGUAGAUGGUGGGUUGUCGGUUCAGCUUGGACUGGGAAUCAAAGUGAGGAAAAUGAAAAAUCAGAACCAGCCCCAGUUUCUGAAGGAUUUUCCGCUAAGUUAUUAGAAUUGGCGAGAAAGCAGAGGAUGAAUACUGAUACAAGAAGAAAUAUAUUCUGUAUAAUAAUGUCUGCAGAAGAUCUAUAUGGAUGCUUUCGAAAAAAUUGUGAAACUGGGUUUGAGAAAUCAGCAAGACCGAGAAAUCAUAAAUGUAUUACUACAUUGCUGUCUGCAGGAGAAGAAUUAUAAUCCGUAUUACGGGGUUUUAGCUCAGAAGUUUUGCGAACUUGACAGGAAAUAUCAAAUUACAAUAAAAUAUUCCAUUUGGGAUAAACUGAAAGCAUUGUCGGAUCAUUCCGGAUCGCAAAUAUCCAAUUUAGCAAAACUGCUCAUUCACUUGUUCAUAGAGAAAGGACUGCCUAUAUCUACUUUAAAG
rnacentral:misc_RNA from 1 species